rnacentral:rRNA from 1 species
GACGAACGCUGGCGGCGCGCCUAACACAUGCAGGUCGAACGAGCGAGAGAGAGCUUGCUUUCUCGAGCGAGUGGCGAACGGGUGAGUAACGCGUGAGGAACCUGCCUCAAAGAGGGGGACAACAGUUGGAAACGACUGCUAAUACCGCAUAAGCCCACGGGUCGGCAUCGACCAGAGGGAAAAGGAGCAAUCCGCUUUGAGAUGGCCUCGCGUCCGAUUAGCUAGUUGGUGAGGUAACGGCCCACCAAGGCAACGAUCGGUAGCCGGACUGAGAGGUUGAACGGCCACAUUGGGACUGAGACACGGCCCAGACUCCUACGGGAGGCAGCAGUGGGGAAUAUUGCACAAUGUGGGAAACCCUGAUGCAGCGACGCCGCGUGGAGGAAGAAGGUCUUCGGAUUGUAAACUCCUGUUGUUGGGGAAGAUAAUGACGGUACCCAACAAGGAAGUGACGGCUAACUACGUG